rnacentral:rRNA from 1 species
AAGUUCCUUGGAACAGGACGUCACAGAGGGUGAGAAUCCCGUACGUGGUCGCUAGCCUUUACCGUGUAAAGCCCCUUCGACGAGUCGAGUUGUUUGGGAAUGCAGCUCUAAAUGGGAGGUAAAUUUCUUCUAAAGCUAAAUACUGGCCAGAGACCGAUAGCGCACAAGUAGAGUGAUCGAAAGAUGAAAAGCACUUUGGAAAGAGAGUUAAAAAGCACGUGAAAUUGUUGAAAGGGAAGCGCUUGCAGCCAGACUUGCCUGUAGUUGCUCAUCCGGGUUUCUACCCGGUGCACUCUUCUAUAGGCAGGCCAGCAUCAGUUUGGGCGGUUGGAUAAAGGUCUCUGUCAUGUACCUCUCUUCGGGGAGAACUUAUAGGGGAGACGACAUGCAACCAGCCUGGACUGAG